rnacentral:rRNA from 1 species
UACGGAGGGAGCUAGCGUUGUUCGGAAUUACUGGGCGUAAAGCGCACGGUAGGCGGCUAUUCAAGUCGGGGGUGAAAGCCCGGGGCUCAACCCCGGAACUGCCCUCGAAACUAGGUAGCUAGAAUCUUGGAGAGGCGAGUGGAAUUCCGAGUGUAGAGGUGAAAUUCGUAGAUAUUCGGAAGAAACACCAGUGGCGAAGGCGACUCGCUGGACAAGUAUUGACGCUGAGGUGCGAAAGCGUGGGGAGCAAACAGGG